AUAAUAUUCAACUGCAUAUUUUAACUGUGUAUAUAAACGGCAACACGUAAGGAGCGUAGUGCAAUUUCAUAUCUGCUGCCGUUGCUGGUGCAUCAUUGAAAUUUGCGAGAUAUUUCCCUGGCACCAUGUCGCCCAAGGUCGUAAUAUUAGCGUUCGCAAUUCUGGUGGCUAUAUUCCUCCAUGGUCCGAGUGAAGCGAUUCAACCCGUGACAAUACAGCCGUACCCUUUGUGUUACUGGAUUUGUCAACCUAACCCUGUGGGUGACCCCCUGGUCUGUGACCGCUGCCACUACCAAGUGGGGACAUGUGUGUCCUUCUACUACCCGAAAUGCUAUGUUACUGGACGAAACUGCGCCAAAAGCAACUGGUACGCCAUCAAGUGCUGCCCUCAUCACCACUGUUAGCUAGAAAGAAACCCACGUGUU